rnacentral:misc_RNA from 1 species
UCCUCCCUGGAUGAUGAACUCCCAUGGUAGAGAGAGAGAAAGUCGCCCUCGUCUCGUGGCCGCAGGAGACAGCAGAAGGACGACCUAUGGGUACCCGAGGCGCUGGAGUGCAGACACCAGUUUGAUGCAAUACCUCACACAUCUCGCGAGGACCGGAGAGAAUAACAGUACAGCACUUACGGAGAGCGUUAUGAAGGACGGACCAUCUAGUCUUAAAACUAACGAUGACUCAGGUGAAGAAGAUAAUGGUACCAGAGAGAUAAAGGAGACAGAAAAACCUCUACCACCACUUGAAGUUAAGCCCGGGGAACACAGACUUCAGUACUCCUACUGCAUCUGGUUUAGUCGUCGAGCACCGGGCAAACAGGCGACAACACAGAAUUAUGACCAGAAUCUACAGUUAAUAGGAAGAUUUGCCUCCGUGGAACAGUUCUGGGGUCACUAUAGCCACUUAGUGCGGCCAGCUCACCUUACCUCACACUCCGACAUACAUAUCUUUAAAGAUGGAAUAAAGCCCAUGUGGGAGGACUCGGCAAAUAAAAAUGGAGGAAAAUGGAUUGUGCGGCUACGUAAAGGGUUAGCGUCGCGUUGUUGGGAGAAUAUGAUCUUGGCCAUGCUAGGGGAACAGUUCUUGGUUGGUGAUGAGAUUUGUGGUGCCGUCAUAUCUGUGCGAUUUCAGGAGGACAUAAUAUCUGUUUGGAACAGAACUGCACAAGAUUCACUAACAACAGGAAGAAUCCGUGACACACUGAAACGAGUCCUCAACCUUCCACCCAACACUGUCAUGGAAUACAAAACACACAAUGAUUCUCUGAAGCACACCCACUCCGCGUCCAGCCUUCUGCGAAAACCUGGCCCUCCCAUGAGGCAUGACCUCCUGCACUGAUGUCUCUAUCCUCCAGCCCCCCCUCUUGGGAGUGAGGAGAUUUGGGGGGAGGGGGGGGAAGAGGUCGAGACAACCAUCAUACUCUGUGCAUCUGUGCAGUGUACUUCACAGCCCUCUAAUGCAAACUAAUUGAUGUGAAGGUCGUUAAGGUAUGAGAAAAAUCCAGAGUAGAGGGACGUAUGCGAGGCUGUUGUGACUUCUUACAGAAAUGUUGAUGUAACGUGUUGGCUUGAGUUGUAAACUGGGUAUACAGUGCAUUAUAUAAAUAUUUUAACUUCC